CUUGUGGCCAGCUCAUUGUUAUUAAUGUAGCCAAGGCUUUACUAUGCUAUGCUACCAUUGCAGGAAGGAAAAAGAGCAAGGGGCUGGUGUUCUGAGAAGAAAGAAGAUGCCUCCUACUAUUCUCAGCAGUCAAAGCACAAACACAAAGAGAAUACACUCUAGACCAAUAACACAGAGGCCAUGUACAUGAAGAGCCAGAGGCAACUUUUGGAGGCUUGGGUACUUUGCUCCACAUGCUCCACCAGACUGUCCAAAUGAAUCUUCUAGGAUGUACUAUGCUGGUGCAGAAACUAACAGAAUGAAUAAACUCACUAAGGGGGUA